GAAACGCGAUAGGUAAUGUGAAUUGCAGAAUUCCGUGAAUCAUCGAAUCUUUGAACGCACCUUGCGCUCUAUGGCAAUCCGUAGAGUAUGCCUGUUUGAGUGCCAUGAAAUCUCCCACCCCAAGCGGUUUUUAAAUGAAACGGCUUGGCGGAUGGGGUCUGGAUGGGUGCCUCUGCCUGCGCUACCUAGCACGGGCUCGCCCGAAAUGCAUGAGCGCCUUGAGACACAUUGCAUCCGCCUCUCUGUUUGGGAGGAGGCGGCCAAGCAGUGUUUUUCUCCUGGCAUGGCAUGAUACGUCAUUUGCUAUGUCACCUAAAGGAGGAAUGUUUGGUUGUGUCUGCGUGUGCUUCAAACUUGCCUCUGUGGCACAUCCCAAUUUCACUUCUGGUCUCAAAUCAGGUAGGAUCACCCGCUGAACUUAAGC
rnacentral:misc_RNA from 1 species